AAAACAGCGAUGAACGCUAGCGAUAGGCCUAACACAUGCAAGUCGAGGGGCAUCACAUGGGGUAGCAAUACUUCUGGUGGCGACCGGCGCACGGGUGAGUAACACGUAUGCAACCUGCCUUCAACAAGGGCAUAACCCGUUGAAAGACGGACUAAUUCCCUAUGACACAGGGGUCCCGCAUGGGGAUAUUUGUUAAAGAUAUUAUCGGUUGAAGAUGGGCAUGCGUUCCAUUAGCUUGUUGGCGGGGUAACGGCCCACCAAGGCAACGAUGGAUAGGGGAACUGAGAGGUUUAUCCCCCACACUGGUACUGAGACACGGACCAG
rnacentral:rRNA from 1 species